UUGUCAGAAGGUCUCUAUUGAAAGUCUUCAUUUCGCUAAUGCAGGAAAUGAGGCAGUUGAAGACCAGACUACUGAUAAUUCAUCAAAUGAGGAUAUCAGUGAUGAAAAUGGCAAUAGUGAAGAUGAUGAUACAAGUAAUACAGUUGUGGAAGAUCAACAACCAGAAGUUUGGGAAGAUGUGUCUCCUGAACAACUGAUAUCUGAUCUGAACUGUUGUGAUCCAGAUAGCCAUCCAUGUCCAGAACCACAGUCCAAAGACACUAAUGUUCAAAAAGCAACUAAUCUUUUGAAAUCGUUUGUUUAUUUUAUUCUUUUGUGGCAGUCAUUUUGCAAAUUAAGUGAUAAUGGAUUGGAAUGGUUUCUUCAAUUUCAUUCUCAGUUUUUUAAGGCACUUGCAAAUAUAUGUGGUAAUU